rnacentral:lncRNA from 10 species
UUGUGGGGCAGAGUGGGGUUUCGCCCUGGGGGAGCAUAUGUGGCAGAGGGCACAGGAAGAUCUGUAAGCAAGAGGGCAUAGCAAAUUAAAUGACCACACUGUCAGGAAGGUUGACAGGCCAAAGAAAGAUCAGCUCCUCCAAAUCUGCUGAACUAACUCUCCCCUCGUAGCCCCAGACACGUUUUCUCAAUUUGAGCACAAUAUCCAUUACUAUUUCCCGUACUGGGUUUCAAUUAAAGAGAGUGAGAGUAGAAAGUUCACUGGUGUUUGGGGGUUCAUUUAUUUCCAAGCAGGAUGCAAAUGAAAGGGAGCCGUGGGCACAGAGUUGUCAUGUGUGUUUUUCCUCCCUCUUCUUUCCAUUUCCUUCUUGCAACCUUCCCUCCACUUCUUGCCAGCCACCCAGCACACCCGUGUUCCCAAAGCAAAUGUUUUCAUGUCUUGAAAAUCCAGUUAGGGUGAGGAGAGAAGGAAGGUGAUAACAUCAUACCUACUGAUGCCCCCUAGAGAUGAAGCUGUCCUGGGGGCACUUAAGGCUUGAGGGAAGGAUUUACCUUCUCGAGAUGGGCACAGGAAUUGGGGUAGUGUGAGCACUUGAAGGGUUCCAGGUUUUACUGUUGCACUGAAAACAGAUGCAAUCCCUCCUGCUGUAACAUGCCCCUAUGGAAAAAAUCUAGCCUUCUGUGCAGUUAUCCUGUUUUGGUCCUAGAACACAGGGUGGUGAUCUUGCUUCUCUGGGGGGUGCCAGGCAAAUAGAAGACGUGAAAAUCUGCUGCCAAGGUCAGGAUGUAGGUCCUGGAUUCAGGAUCUUGACCCCAGGCCUGCCCUGUCACCGAGCAGUGGUCUCACAACCAGGCAAACUCUCUGGCCAAACUCACUUCACACAAACUUGAGCUGAGCACCAGCCCUCCAACCCCCUCCACCUUCUAUGAUCACUGACUUUGUACCAUGGCCACACAGACCACUGGGCAGAAGAGUAGCUGCAGGGUGUCGGUCUUAAUUUCAUGACACUCUGCGUAGCCUCCUCCUCCUUCCACGUCAGCAAAAGAAACUAGAGGCCUCAACAAUGUGACUGUAUUUUGAGUUGGGAUGUGUCCCUCCCAAAUCAAUCAUCCCGGCUCCAAAUAAUACAAACAAAUUCUACAUAUUUUAAAAUGUCCCAAGUCUUGUAUGAUAUCCAGGGACCGAUUAGUGCCGACUGGAGAGACUAUUCCCUCUCCCAUUCCGAAUAAAGGGUUAGGUGAAGGUUGUGGCCCGAGAGAUCCCAGAAGCCCUUAAAAGUCUUUAGCUUGGGGUUUGAAUAAUGAGGGCUAGAUAAGUUUGUUUUCUCUUCCUUUCAAAAAUUUUUUUAUUUUAGAGGAAGGGGAAUGAGGAAGGCGCACGCGCGCGCUCACACACACACACACACACACACACACACGCAGAAAGAGAGAAAAUGUUUGGAAUUGUGAAAGUGCCUUUCCUAGUAGUUGCUUUUACUGGCGCCCGGGCCUCAAUUCAUUUCAUCUCUGAACCAGAUACUAAAAAUCCUCCAGGCGAGUGGAGAGGACCGGCCUUCCUGGAUCGGGAACCUGCCCUCUGUCUUCCCUCGCAGCGCCCUUUCCUCCUUUCGCUUGGGAAAGGAAGAUUUCGAGCCCCAGGAAGGAGUUGGGAGUGAGCGACAGCCCAGAGCGUCCCAUAAGGUCCUUUUGGCCAUGUUUCUGCCCCGGGGGGCUUCACCUAGAUCCCCCACCCCACCCCUUACCCCUGUUGCAAAUACGUAAGCUGGACGCGCCUCGGUGCGGAUCCAGGCCUCGCUGAGCACGGAACCGGAGAAGCAGCUCACGGCCUCGGAUUCUACUCUCACCCAAGGGUGGAAGGGGGUGACAGGGCUCGGAUCUUGCCCCAAACGCUGCACAGGCCCGCAGGAGAGCAAAGAGGUCUCGGACAGGCUGUCCUUCCCCAGCUCUCGGUCGCGACAAGGUCCCGACAGGCCCGGGAACCGGCGAACCGCCUGCAGCUGCUAUCGACAACACUUACAGCCUCCAGAAAUGACCCUUGGUGCCGACUUGUCUGGAAGCCAUCAGGGUUAGUUUUGAAGCAGGAAUCUUCAAGUGGACCAGAGGGUUGUCUUCUGCUCCUGAUCUGGUUGGCUGGAGACACUUAGAAGCUAUGGCCUUUCACCUACAGGGUCUCUCUUUGUUGCCUAGGCUGGAGUGCAGUGGAACGAACUUGGCUUAUUGAAGCAUUGACCACCUGGACCCAAGUGAUUCUCCUACCUUAGCCUCUUGAAUAGCUGUGACAACAGGUGUGCACUACCACACCCAGAUAAAUUUUGUAAUUUUUAUAGAGAGGGCAUUUGACCAUGUUGCCCAGGCUGGUCUCAAACUCCUGAGCUCAAGUGAUACUCCUGCCUCGGCCUCCCAAAGUGCUGGGAUUACAGAUGAAGAAAAUGAGGCACUGAGAGAUUACAUAACUUCCCUUGAGUCAUAUUUGCUUGUAAGUGGUAAGGCUGGAUGUUGAACCCAGGACAAAGGGUCUCACUCUGUCGCCCAGUCUGGAGUGCAAUGGUGUGAUCACGGUCACUGCAACCUCUGCCUCCCGGGUUCAAGCGAUUCUCCUGCCUCAGCCUCCCAAGUAGCUGGGAUUACAGCGGCUUGCAGUAAACUUCUUGGAGGAGAAUUGGCAUUGCAAGGGUGUUACUGGAGACCUCGGCAAGAAAGUGAAUGCAAAGACAGAUGACCCAGGAACCCGUGAUGGAUAAGGCUCUUGACAGCCAGGACGUGGAAUUACAGGGGGUCUCUUUGAGAGACAAAAUAAAAAAAAUAGCCCAGUAAUCUUCCUUCCACCCUUUUCUCCCAGAUCUAAUUACAGAUGUCUUGACAUUCCUUCUGCAUAGAAUUUCCUUAAAAGAUUUGCCAAGAAGAAACAUUUGGAAACUGUGUUUUAGGUAUAAUCCGUCUGGGAGUCACUCUUGCUCGCUUUGUCGUUAGAUGACAAAACGCUUAAUUACAGCGAGCACAAUGUAUACCACAUUUGGAAAACUGGAUUCUUGACCUAAAUAAUGUACCCCAUACUGACAAUGGCCUUUUGGCAAAACUUGUGUCUCUGAUCUCACAUUAAUUACUACACAAAUAUACUUAUUGUGGGCACCGAGUUUAUGGGAUGGAGUCCUCUUGACACAUGUUCACCAUAAAAACACAUUUUUUUCCCUUCCCCUGACCCUAAGGAAAAGAAAAAAAAAAAGAUUAACAUUUUUCAAGAUGCUGUUUUAGUGACAUGAAAACUGUCUGUUGAGUGUUCACUCGGCUUUUGUUCUUUUUCUUUUCUCCUUUUAUUAAAAAGCCUUUCAAACCAAGCAUUCCUGGUUUGUGAUUCUUUACUUUUGCUUUUAUGCUGAGGGAGAGACAGAUUAGAUUAGAUUAAAGACCAAGGGACACCUCGUGAAAUACAUUCCAUCUAGAGGCAAUUUGGUUGAGAGGGCCAAUUGUGUGUGUGUGUGCCUGUGUGCGUGCAGGCGUGCGUGUUUCUCCUUGUGGCAUACUGGUGGUCUUUUUACAGAUACAGAGUUCUGGUUUUUGGAAAUGCGUUUAUUCCUUUAGCCUUUUUCCCUUCAGAAGCCUGCAGCCUUUGAUUGUGGCCUGACUUUUAGGGGUCUGCGGCAUUUUGGGGGGUAGUAAAUCUUAUUAACUCUUCCCUUUAGUGUCUCGCCAUUCUCAAAAACUUUUACAAAAAGCAGCAACACCGCCCUCACCAAAGACAGAUGAAAGGAGCGGUUUCAAAG